rnacentral:rRNA from 1 species
GAGUUGUUUUUCAGGUGGUAUUGGCAGCAAUGUCAGUGCUAUUUGUUUAACUACUGUCAUCAUCAAAGUCCACCAAUCUUUUGUUUGGUGUGUACUGGAUGUUGACCUCCUAUCUUCUGGUAACAACCAUCUUCACGGGUGGAAGUUCCAGAUAGUUUACUUUGAAAAAAUUAGAGUGUUCAAAGCAGGCGAACCUGGCAUCAUGAAUACAUUAGCAUGGGAUAAUAGAAUAUGACUUUUGGUCUUAUUUUGUUGGUUUCUAAGGCCGAAGUA